UAUUGAAGCUGAACUCAUGUUUCACUUAUAUUCAAGAAAUUUGAUUUCCAACGAAAUGUUUCCCAAAAGACAGGGACAAAUAUACUGGCUACUUCUCUGACCAGUAGAUUUCAAAUUUGUCAGCCCCACAAAUUAGUAGAGCUAUAGAUCCAGCACAGCACCUCAUGCACUUUGGACUGGUGGUUUACUACUGAGCAGCGUUCACAGCACAGUGGAGAGAAACUGCACCUUACUCUCAU